CACGUAGGGCGCAAGCGUUGUCCGGAAUUAUUGGGCGUAAAGGGCGCGUAGGCGGUCAGCACAAGUCAGUUGUGAAAUCUCCGGGCUUAACUCGGAAAGGUCAACUGAUACUGUGCGACUAGAGUGCGGAAGGGGCAACUGGAAUUCUCGGUGUAGCGGUGAAAUGCGUAGAUAUCGAGAGGAACACCUGCGGCGAAGGCGGGUUGCUGGGCCGACACUGACGCUGAUGCGCGAAAGCCAGGGGAGCGAACGGG
rnacentral:rRNA from 1 species